ACCUGCCUCACUUCAGCCAGGGGGAAAGAGUCACACUCACAGGAGGUCAGCUUACAAAUGAACCAGCUUAUGAUCAAGUAUAUACGGUACUCUAUGGAACACACCUGCACCUGGAUGGCCGAGAAUUGGACAAAUCAAAAGCAGCUUUAAGCCCCUUUUCUUUCUUGGCUCCCCACCCUGCUCCCCGGAAUUAUAUUUUGCGCUGCUCUGAGACAAUCAUUCUGACUAGCUAACUGAACUAUACUUAAUUGUUCUUGCAUUCAAGUGAAAGCAAAAGGACUCAUCUCAGAAAAUAAUGUUAAUCAAGCCCAUGUUUGCUUUUGUAAUACAAAAGGGUUACUUAAGUAGAUGAAAGAUGGUAAUGAACUUAGAUUUCAUCUGAAGCCUUCCUGGAUAGAUAUAUAAUUAUAUAUAAUUUGAAUAUAAAAGUGAGAAGCAAAUCUAAGUUAAGCAAUCUCUAGAAAUUUUGCAGUUCUGGUAUGUUCUUGUCUGAGCUUCAGGAACUGUUUAUUUGAAUAAUGACAUGAUUUGAUGAGUUAACAAGGUGCAUACAAAGCAAUUGUCUGGAAGUAUCUGUCACAUACUGUAGUUACCUAAGUCAUGUUCCUAAAGAGAAGUUUUUCAAAUACUUGCAUGUAUUGAUUAAUGACAGAACUAGAUGGGCCAUCAGCCAUUACACCUGCUUAAUGACAAACACACUCCUGCUCUCCACAGAAACACAAGUCUCUAAACUAAAAUUAAUUUUGAAAGCUACAAGCUUGGAGGCUUUCCUGUCUUUUGCAUCAUAGUCAGUAUGAAAUUAUAUCUGAAAUCUGUACCUCAUAUUCUUUUAAUUUAUCAUAAUAAGGUGUGAAAUUGUAUGUUGUUCAUUAUGAAUUAUUUAUCCCUGAUCAAGAAUCCAGGGAAGUUAUUCUAAGGAUUUUGAAUUCUAUAUUCUGGGUAUUUUAAUAAGAAUGUUUAUUACAACCAAAGGGAAGUAAUGGUUUUGAUGCUGGUUGAUCAGAUCAUGCCAAAGGUAUUCAGGCCAAUUCACUUGUCUGUUAGUAUACAUCAAAGUGAUUGUUGAAUGUAGAAGAGUAUCUUUGGUGUUUAGAUUUCAUAAAACUAAUGGGACAUUGCUUGUAUUGUUUUCACUUAUCUGUAUUCUGUUAUAAUGCAGUACACACAUUUACAUUGUGUAUACCCCUGUAAUUAAAUAACCCAUCAAAGAAGUCUUGUGGGAUGCAAAUGAAAGACUUUAACAGAAAAGUGCUAAUUUCAAAGCAAAUGGCCAUCAUGUGUGAUGACCAGAGACCAAAGAUUCCUUACUCACCAUAAUCAGAGGAAAAGUCUACGUGAAAAGAGACACUGUCAGCUUGUUUUCUGUCAGAAGAAGAUAUAAAUAUGGACUCAAGGAAAGAUCUUUCAUCUCUGGACAGUUUGGACUCUUACGGGCAAGUGUACCAGAUGCAAAGCGGAGAUCCCAAAACACAAUCUGGGUACCCUGAAAAGACUUUUGGGAAAUUGGCAGUUCAUUACAUCACAACCAACAUUUGGAAUUACAAACCAUGACUUACUUCUUAAUAUAUUUUACUAGCUUUAACCUCUCAAUAACUCUCAUUUCCUUUUCUUAGCUAAUAAACCUUUAUUUAGUUUA